rnacentral:rRNA from 1 species
UACGUAGGGAGCAAGCGUUGUCCGGAAUCAUUGGGCGUAAAGCGCGCGUAGGUGGCCUCAUAAGUCCGCUGUGAAAGUCAAAGGCUCAACCUUUGAAAGCCGGUGGAUACUGUGAGGCUAGAGUGCGGGAGAGGCGAGUGGAAUUCCUGGUGUAGCGGUGAAAUGCGCAGAUAAUCAGGAGGAACACCAAUUGCGAAGGCAGCUCGCUGGAACGUAACUGACGCUGAGACGCGAAAGCGUGGGGAGCAAACAGG